rnacentral:rRNA from 1 species
GGGUUGUGAGGUUAAGCGACUAAGCGUACACGGUGGAUGCCCUGGCAGUCAGAGGCGAUGAAGGACGUGCUAAUCUGCGAAAAGCGUCGGUAAGGUGAUAUGAACCGUUAUARCCGGCGAUGUCCGAAUGGGG